GUGUUCACUCUGAUAGCACUUAAACUAAAAGUGGAACAAUACAGAAAAAAUGAGCAUGACCCCUCCACAUAGAUGACACACAAAUCUGUGAAGCAUCCCUAAUCCUU
ensembl:snRNA U6 U6 spliceosomal RNA